UACAGAGGGGGCAAGCGUUAUUCGGAAUUAUUGGGCGUAAAGGGCGCGUAGGCGGCUUUGCAAGUGACGGGAUGAAAUCCCUCGGCUUAACCGAGGAACUGCCUGUCAAACUGCAUGGCUUGAGACCGGGAGAGGUGAGUGGGAAUUCCCAGUGUAGCGGUGAAAUGCGUAGAUAUUGGGAGGAACACCAGUGGCGAAGGGCGGCUUUCUGGACGGUAACUGACGCUGAGACGCGAAAGCGUGGGGAGCAAACAGGG
rnacentral:rRNA from 1 species